GAUGAACGCUGGCGGCGUGCUUAACACAUGCAAGUCGAACGGUGAAGCAGGAGCUUGCUCCUGUGGAUCAGUGGCGAACGGGUGAGUAACACGUGAGCAAUCUGCCCUGGACUCUGGGAUAAGCGUUGGAAACGACGUCUAAUACCGGAUACGAGGCGUGGGGGCAUCCCCAACGCCUGGAAAGAACUUCGGUCCAGGAUGAGCUCGCGGCCUAUCAGGUAGUUGGUGAGGUAACGGCUCACCAAGCCUACGACGGGUAGCCGGCCUGAGAGGGUGACCGGCCACACUGGGACUGAGACACGGCCCAGACUCCUACGGGAGGCAGCAGUGGGGAAUAUUGCACAAUGGGCGCAAGCCUGAUGCAGCAACGCCGCGUGAGGGACGACGGCCUUCGGGUUGUAAACCUCUUUUAGCAGGGAAGAAGCGAAAGUGACGGUACCUGCAGAAAAAGCACCGGCUAACUACGUGCCAGCCGCCGCGGUAAGAC
rnacentral:rRNA from 1 species